AUAUAUAUAGUAUAACUAAUUACAUUUAACUUCCAAUUAAAAAAUUUUAUUAAAAUAUAUAUA
rnacentral:tRNA from 1 species